ACCGACUGCGCACUCUCAGUCUGCGACUCAACCCUCUCAGCUCUCCUCGCUCUCUGUUGCCAGUUCAUCAGCCCCCGCCGCGUACUCCCAGUCGAAGCUCCUCACCGCUAUUACAUUCCGGAAUUUCCCAAUGCAAGGUUAGAAGAGGAAAGAUCAAUGACAGACUCAGAUGCUUGCAAGACAUUGUCCCUAGACGCUAUAAGAGCAUGGGAAUGGCAGUGAUGCUGGAUGAGAUAAUUAAUUAUGUCCAGUCCUUACAAAAUCAGGUCAAGGUGAGUCAAACUUAUAAUCACCUAUUUGCCUUUUAAGUUACAAUUAAGGAUUAAUUUGAUAUAUUUUUACAUUUCUUUGAAUUUGUGUUUAGUUCCUUUCUAUGAAGCUUACAGCAGCAAGCUCAUUUUAUGAUUUCAAAAGGAAAGCACACACAGAAAUGCUUGUCGUCUCUGACUAUUCGAGAUAAAUCUAGAUCCUAGCGGGUUAGCUAUUUGCUGCAUUAAACUCCAGCUAGGUAUCUUUACUAGAGAAAACAAAAAAUAAAAAAUUGCAGAAGGUUUCAGGAUUAGAACCCAAUAAAACUUAGCAAGACCGCUGGAAGGGAAUAACUCAUUACAUUUAGAAAAUAAUUCAGAUAAAAAAGGAUCACACCCAUUAUCUUUCUUUUUCUAAAAACUUAACCAGCAAACACACAAAUUGCAACACAGGGAAACAACUUAUACAGAUUGAAUAAGCAAAAUCAUACCCAACGCAAUAGUAUAAAAAAAACAACAUUUAACUAAAUUCAGUAGGUUGUACAAAACAUUGAACUGCGUUUGGUUUCUAAGAAAAUAGAAGAAUUGUACGCAAAGACAGAAAGAGACAUACCA